UCCGAGUUGACCCCGGCAGUAUCCCAUGAGUUCCCACCAUUACGUGCUGGCAACAUAGGACGAGGGUUGCGCUCGUUGCGGGACUUAACCCAACAUCUCACGACACGAGCUGACGACAACCAUGCACCAUCUGUGCACCGGCCCCGGAAGGCUGCCGUAUUUCUACGGCAUUCCAGUGCAUGUCAAGCCCAGGUAAGGUUCUUCGCGUUGCGUCGAAUUAAACCACACGCUCCGCUGCUUGUGCGGGCCCCCGUCAAUUCCUUUGAGUUUUAGCCUUGCGGCCGUAGUCCCCAGGCGGAGUACUUAUCGCGUUAGCUGCGGCACCGAGGGGGUCGAUACCCCCGACACCUAGUACUCAUCGUUUACAGCGUGGACUAC
rnacentral:misc_RNA from 1 species